CCUUUGAAACGAUUUCGCUGUAACUUCCGUGCCACUCCGCAGGUGUUGAUUCAAAGGGAGGGACAAUACAAAAGGAUAAACCAAGCAACCGUUCAGAGCUUCUUGUACAACAGAUGCGAAGCGGAGUGACAGCCGUGACCUUUUGAUGAGGCCCUGUCACCAGGUUACAGUGGGGCUGGAGCCUAUCACAGCUGUCAUCAGCUCUACCUCCCUCUUGUGGGCACAAGGCGCUGGUGCAUGAGCAACAGAAAGUAAGUG